AUUGAACGCUGGCGGCAUGCUUUACACAUGCAAGUCGAACGAGUGGCGAACGGGUGAGUAAUACAUCGGAACGUACCCAGAAGUGGGGGAUAACGUAGCGAAAGUUACGCUAAUACCGCAUACUUUUGGAGCGGCCGAUGUCUGGUUAGCUAGUUGGUGAGGUAAAGGCUCACCAAGGCGACGAUCAGUAGCUGGUCUGAGAGGACGACCAGCCACACUGGAACUGAGACACGGUCCAGACUCCUACGGGAGGCAGCAGUGGGGAAUUUUGGACAAUGGGCGCAAGCCUGAUCCAGCAAUGCCGCGUGAGUGAAGAAGGCCUUCGGGUUGUAAAGCUCUUUUGUCAGGGAAGCGGUACCUGAAGAAUAAGCACCGGCUAACUACGUGCCAGCAGCCGCGGUAAUUC
rnacentral:rRNA from 1 species